rnacentral:rRNA from 1 species
GGCCCUGGGCCGGAAGGCCUACACAUGCAAGUCGAGCGGUAACAGAUCUAGCUUGCUAGAUGCUGACGAGCGGCGGACGGGUGAGUAAUGCAUAGGAAUCUACCCGGUAGUGGGGGAUAACCUGGGGAAACCCAGGCUAAUACCGCAUACGUCCUACGGGAGAAAGGGGGCUCCGGCUCCCGCUAUCGGAUGAGCCUAUGUCGGAUUAGCUAGUUGGUGAGGUAAAAGCUCACCAAGGCAACGAUCCGUAGCUGGUCUGAGAGGAUGAUCAGCCACAUCGGGACUGAGACACGGCCCGAACUCCUACGGGAGGCAGCAGUGGGGAAUAUUGGACAAUGGGGGGAACCCUGAUCCAGCCAUGCCGCGUGUGUGAAGAAGGCCUUCGGGUUGUAAAGCACUUUCAGCGAGGAAGAACGCCUAGUGGUUAAUACCCAUUAGGAAAGACAUCACUCGCAGAAGAAGCACCGGCUAACUCCGUGCCAGCAGCCGCGGUAAUACGGAGGGUGCAAGCGUUAAUCGGAAUUACUGGGCGUAAAGCGCGCGUAGGUGGCUUGAUAAGCCGGUUGUGAAAGCCCCGGGCUCAACCUGGGAACGGCAUCCGGAACUGUCAAGCUAGAGUGCAGGAGAGGAAGGUAGAAUUCCCGGUGUAGCGGUGAAAUGCGUAGAGAUCGGGAGGAAUACCAGUGGCGAAGGCGGCCUUCUGGACUGACACUGACACUGAGGUGCGAAAGCGUGGGUAGCAAACAGGAUUAGAUACCCUGGUAGUCCACGCCGUAAACGAUGUCGACCAGCCGUUGGGUGCCUAGCGCACUUUGUGGCGAAGUUAACGCGAUAAGUCGACCGCCUGGGGAGUACGGCCGCAAGGUUAAAACUCAAAUGAUUUGACGGGGCCCGCACAAGCGGUGGAGCAUGUGGUUUAUUUCGAUGCAACGCGAAGAACCUUACCUACUCUUGACAUCCUGCGAACUUGUGAGAGAUCACUUUGGUUGCCUUCGGGAACGCAGAGACAGGUGCUGCAUGGCUGUCGUCAGCUCGUGUUGUGAAAUUGUUGGGUUAAGUCCCGUAACGAGCGCACCCUUGUCCUUAUUUGCCAGCGCGUAUUGCCGGGAACCUCUACGAGACUGCCCGUGACCACCCGAGAAGGUGGGACGACGUCAGUCAUCACUGGCCCUUACGAGUAGGCUAACAACACUGCCUACCAUGGUCCGGUCAAAGUGCGAGCUCGCGAAGUUCACGCUUAUCCGUAAAAGCCCGGAUUCUUCAGUCUCUG